AACGAACGCUGGCGGCAGGCUUAACACAUGCAAGUCGAACGCUCCGCAAGGAGAGUGGCAGACGGGUGAGUAACGCGUGGGAAUCUACCUAGUUCUACGGAACAACUGAGGGAAACUUCAGCUAAUACCGUAUACGCCCUACGGGGAAAGAUUAAUCGGAAUUGGAUGAGCCCGCGUUGGAUUAGCUAGUUGGUGGGGUA
rnacentral:rRNA from 1 species